UACGGAGGGAGCUAGCGUUAUUCGGAAUUACUGGGCGUAAAGCGCACGUAGGCGGCUUUGUAAGUUAGAGGUGAAAGCCUGGAGCUCAACUCCAGAACCGCCUUUAAGACUGCAUCGCUUGAAUCCAGGAGAGGUGAGUGGAAUUCCGAGUGUAGAGGUGAAAUUCGUAGAUAUUCGGAAGAACACCAGUGGCGAAGGCGGCUCACUGGACUGGUAUUGACGCUGAGGUGCGAAAGCGUGGGGAGCAAACAGG
rnacentral:rRNA from 1 species